rnacentral:lncRNA from 1 species
CGCUCGCGUCCCUGAAUCUCCGGCCCGGGGUGCUGCGGAAAACGGCCCUGUCAUUAGAGCUGUGCAGAGAAAAGACUGGCAGCCAGAUGUGGACAACCUGCUGGCCGCCCCGCCCCACCCCGCCCCGUCACCUCCAUCCACCCUGCCACUUUUUGCGGGGAAAUAGCCUGGCUUCCUGAGCACUGUGUAAAAGCAGGGCAAAAAGCCUUCUGAGUGCUCUGAAAGGACACGGUAAGGUAAUGCAGCCUCGGUUUGCUGAACUCUAAAGGUCUGCGGGCCACGCUUGUUUGGGUCACCCGGUUUGGCUCAUCAAGGAGGGAUCACGGUGCCGGCUCUGGCCCUGCCUUGAAAUUUCUGCUCUUCUUUUUGGGUCCGGUGGUAUGCGGAAAGUCAUUUAAAGAAGUGCUUGCGGGGCUCAAGCCUAAAUUCAGGGUGGCAGCAGAUGGAUAGCACGGACUCCGGGGAGCUUGGCUUCAAUCUUGAUAUGAAAUAUUGCAGCCAGCAGCCACAGUGCUGACCACCCCUGCUAACGCAAGCACUCUUCCUAGACGUGCACCGAAGUCAUGCCCUGAUCCCCCUUCCUGCUCCCAGCGUGGUCAGUUCUCUGAAAAGGUGACUGUCACAGUGCAGUCCCUUUGCUCUGUAUCUUGUUUGGCUUUUUCCAACCACCAACUUUGGCGCCUAAUCGAAAACUACACUCCUUCAUUCCUUCAUUCCUUCACUGCUGUCUUAAGGCAAACAUAAAGAUCAGGGUGUACUUCCAGCCCAUGAGGUCACGAAUCUGGGCAUAAAUCAAAGAACAAAGACACUUGCUUUAUUAUGCGUUAUUAUUUGUCCACUUAAAGUUCUCGCAGUUCUUGGUAUGACCUUUUAAGAUUCACUUCUUGCCAAAAGUAACCAAAGGUCCAAAACCUAUAAAUCAGUCUGCUUCAAGAAACUCGUUCCUAACGCUCUGUUUUCGCAAUCUUUAUGCAGGGAUACUUUGGUUCAUUGUGAAGAAUUUAACUCCCCCCCCCUUUUUUUGUCUGUGCCCCCUCCCCUUUUAAACCAAAUGGAUGCAGAAUGAAAUUAAGGUGACUAGGUGACUGGGAUACAAUCACCAAGACUUUGGUUUGGAAGGACCGUGAGUGACCACUGGGACAUGCUCCACUCAAUACAAUUAUCCCAUUUUUUAGAAUAAUUUCCAGCCCUUGCUCCACCAAGUGUUUAGCACAUGCAAGGCUUUCAUUCUGUUUUGUUUUGACAGCACUUUUAGAAAACUUUCCUUUAUAUUGAGCCCAAAUCUUUCUCUCCUUAACUUUGACCCAAAUGCCACAAUCUGAGCUCUGAGGCAACGCAAGUGAGGUCUACUCAUGCAGCUGUGGCAACAGGUAGGUGGUGUGUGCUUGAUCAGUCUCCUGGCUGUGUGAAUGUGACCAGGGUGGAGAUGGUUUGCUUGGUGGGAGGCAGUUUCUCUAUGGUUCUGCUCUUGGUCUCAGUUUGUCCCAAUGAGUUGCUUUGGGUUCACUAGUGGGUUAAUUUAGAAACGAAGUUUGGGAAGCACCUUCCUAACCAUUUCCUUAUCAUCUUCCCAGACAUUCAAACCAGUCACCUUUAAGGAGCAAAUGUCUUCUCUUCUUUUGUGUGAUUUGCCAUAAAGUGCUUUAGUUUCCUGCCCCCUGGCACAUUUCUACUGUUACUUCAGUGCCAUAUUUCUUUCUGAACCAUCUAUUUCCGAUCCAAUUUGCUAUUUAGAAAACAUAAAUCAUUAGCUGGCACAUUCCAUGUGGAGUUGCCUAAAAUUAAACAUCGCACAAAGUUUGUACCACAUUUUUUGGCUUUGUUUAACGGUCUCUUUGUUUGCUGUAUCUUGCUCUUGGUAGGUACUCACUAAAUUUGUUAAUGAUUUCUUGUUUUUACUAGACAAGAACCUGGCUUACUUUUGACUGGGAAAAAAAAAAGUUGAGUAUUGUGACCUUUAGGACUCAG